rnacentral:rRNA from 1 species
UGAUCAUGGCUCAGGAUGAACGCUAGCGGCAGGCUUAACACAUGCAAGUCGAGGGGCAGCAUAAUGGAUAGCAAUAUCUAUGGUGGCGACCGGCGCACGGGUGCGUAACGCGUAUGCAACCUACCUUUAACAGGGGGAUAACACUGAGAAAUUGGUACUAAUACCCCAUAAUAUCAUAGAAGGCAUCUUUUAUGGUUGAAAAUUCCGAUGGUUAGAGAUGGGCAUGCGUUGGUA